UGUUACAGUAAGAUAAAUCAGACUUCCUA
rnacentral:sRNA from 1 species